GCUUCCGUAGCUCAGUUGGUUAGAGCUUCGUACUAAUAAUAUCAUUCGAUAUCAUCAGUAAUGCGAAGGUCGCAGGUUCAAGCCCUGCCGGGAGCA